rnacentral:rRNA from 1 species
CAGCAGCCGCGGUAAUACGGGGGGGGCAAGUGUUACUCAUCAUGACUAGGCAUAAAGGGUGUUAAGAUUACUAAAGUUUGUCAUUAUAGAAAAAUCAAUUGAAAUAUUGAAAAUGUAUCUAAACAAUUUAGUUAGAGUAGAUUAGAGAAUAGAAUUACUAGUUUUUGAGGGGUAGAAUCCGACUAGAAGAUUAGGAGGAACAAGGGCGAAGGCACCUAUUUAUGAUCAACUAACAUUGAUAUACUAAAGCGUGGGGAGCGAACAGGAUUAGAUACCCUGGUAGUCCACGCCCUGACCUAUGAGUGUGAAAAUAUCUAUUUUUGUUUGAGAGCUUUGCUUUAAACUAUACAGCUUUAUGCUUGUUGAAAGAAAAAUUUAUUUUAGCUAACGCGAAAGCAUUCCGCCUGGGGACUACGGCCGCAAGGUUGAAACUCAAAGGAAUUGACGGAGGAUCACAAGCGGUGGAGCAUGUGGCUUAAUGCGUAAUAACGCGCAAAACCUUACCAGUUUUUGAAUGUUAGAGGAUUUACUUUAAAAAAGUAUUAAAUUCAUUUCUUUUAUUCUUUGAGUUAAAAAAAUGAUUUUUAGCACAGGAGCUGCAUGGCUGUCGUCAGUUCGUGCCGUGAGGUGUUUGGUUCAGUCCAUUAACGAACGCAACCCCCAAUUCUAGUUUGAGGAUUCAUAAUAUUUUUUUAUGAUACUUAUUAGGAGGACAAUCAUUGAAAAGUGAAGGAAGAGGGAAGAAGUCAAGUCAGUAUGGCCUCGAUAAACUGGGCCGCCGCACAUGCUACAAUGCUUGUUACAGAACGUAGCAAAAACGUGAGUUUGAGCAAAUCGUGAAAAACAAGCCUAGUUCAGAUUACUCUCUGCAACUCGGGAGUA